rnacentral:rRNA from 1 species
GCUUAACACAUGCAAGUCGAGGGGCAGCAUGGUCUUAGCUUGCUAAGGCCGAUGGCGACCGGCGCACGGGUGAGUAACACGUAUCCAACCUGCCGUCUACUCUUGGACAGCCUUCUGAAAGGAAGAUUAAUACAAGAUGGCAUCAUGAGUCCGCAUGUUCACAUGAUUAAAGGUAUUCCGGUAGACGAUGGGGAUGCGUUCCAUUAGAUAGUAGGCGGGGUAACGGCCCACCUAGUCUUCGAUGGAUAGGGGUUCUGAGAGGAAGGUCCCCCACAUUGGAACUGAGACACGGUCCAAACUCCUACGGGAGGCAGCAGUGAGGAAUAUUGGUCAAUGGGCGAGAGCCUGAACCAGCCAAGUAGCGUGAAGGAUGACUGCCCUAUGGGUUGUAAACUUCUUUUAUAAAGGAAUAAAGUCGGGUAUGGAUACCCGUUUGCAUGUACUUUAUGAAUAAGGAUCGGCUAACUCCGUGCCAGCAGCCGCGGUAAUACGGAGGAUCCGAGCGUUAUCCGGAUUUAUUGGGUUUAAAGGGAGCGUAGAUGGAUGUUUAAGUCAGUUGUGAAAGUUUGCGGCUCAACCGUAAAAUUGCAGUUGAUACUGGAUAUCUUGAGUGCAGUUGAGGCAGGCGGAAUUCGUGGUGUAGCGGUGAAAUGCUUAGAUAUCACGAAGAACUCCGAUUGCGAAGGCAGCCUGCUAAGCUGCAACUGACAUUGAGGCUCGAAAGCGUGGGUAUCAAACAGGAUUAGAUACCCUGGUAGUCCACACGGUAAACGAUGAAUACUCGCUGUUUGCGAUAUACUGCAAGCGGCCAAGCGAAAGCGUUAAGUAUUCCACCUGGGGAGUACGCCGGCAACGGUGAAACUCAAAGGAAUUGACGGGGGCCCGCACAAGCGGAGGAACAUGUGGUUUAAUUCGAUGAUACGCGAGGAACCUUACCCGGGCUUAAAUUGCAGAUGAAUUACGGUGAAAGCCGUAAGCCGCAAGGCAUCUGUGAAGGUGCUGCAUGGUUGUCGUCAGCUCGUGCCGUGAGGUGUCGGCUUAAGUGCCAUAACGAGCGCAACCCUUGUUGUCAGUUACUAACAGGUUCCGCUGAGGACUCUGACAAGACUGCCAUCGUAAGAUGUGAGGAAGGUGGGGAUGACGUCAAAUCAGCACGGCCCUUACGUCCGGGGCUACACACGUGUUACAAUGGGGGGUACAGAGGGCCGCUACCACGCGAGUGGAUGCCAAUCCCCAAAACCUCUCUCAGUUCGGACUGGAGUCUGCAACCCGACUCCACGAAGCUGGAUUCGCUAGUAAUCGCGCAUCAGCCACGGCGCGGUGAAUACGUUCCCGGGCCUUGUACACACCGCCCGUCAAGCCAUGGGAGCCGGGGGUACCUGAAGUGCGUAACCGCGAGGAGCGCCCUAGGGUAAAACUGGUGACUGGGGCUAAGUC